CCGCGGCCUCUGCCGGGGCUGGUACCCGCUGCCGAGCUCCCGACACGUGCGGAGUGACCAGCUGUGGACUUAAGACAGAUGUGACCCCAGGGUGACUUGAAAUUAGGUCAUUCUUCACCUUCUGGAAGAGAGGAAAUAGUAACAGGUGAACACUGUACUUGUGGAGUUUUUAGAUACCUUCACCUGAAUGAGAAAUCUGUCUCCGUCAGGACCUUAGAUGUCUGACAGCUUUGUGGCACACCAAGACAAGUAACCAAAGAAAUUUAUGUCCUGAUGUCUUAAGAAGAUGACGUAAAACAUCAAACUUUUUUUAAUCCCUUUUGUUUCUUUUUUUAUUCUAUUCCCAUGGUUCAGUGGACACUGGAAUUAGACUGGGAGGGUUAUUGCUCUGAAUAUCCACGCUACUGUCAUAGGUAGCAAUAAACACAAGUAUCCUCUUCGUUGCUCAGGCCAAGUUUCAGGUCCAAGACCUCUAGCAUAUUAAGAGGGAAAACUUUAAAGAAUAUAAAGUUCCCAAAUUUGGAGAGGAAGAUGAACUCCAGAAAAUUCCAAAUAGAUUUAACACUUAAAAUCGUUACUGAGACAAGUUAUAAUCAAGCACCCAGAAGGCAAAGCAUUACUGGAUAUUGUGUACACUUGUAAUCCCAGCAACUUGAGGCUGAAGCAAGAGGAUUGCAGGUUCAUGGCCAGCCUAAGACUUGGCAAAACCCUGUCUCAAAAAGGAUUGGAGGU